GUUCCACCAUGGCCUGUGGCCCAGGGACUGCUUCGAAACUACUGGGAGCGACUACUGCGGAAGCUUCCACAGAGCCUGCCGGGCUUUCCUAGUUCUCCGUGGGGACCAGCAUUAGCAGUACAGGGCCCAGCCAUAUUUACAGAGCCAGCAAAUGAUACCAGUGGAAGUAAAGAGAAUUCCAGCCUUUUGUAUAGUAUCUUUUGGAUUGAAGCUCCCAAAAACAGACGCACCAUUGAAGUUAACCUGUGUAGGAGAAGAAACCCUCAGAAGCUUAUUAAAGUUAAGAACAGUACCUGAAUGUGGUCACCUGAAACAGAAAUAUGUCCUUUGUGGCUACUGCUAUGAGAAAGUGCGCAAGGAGACUGCAGAAAUCAGACGACAGACGGAAACAAGAAGGGAGGCGUUUUAAGGCUCCCACCAUAGAGACUAUGGUGCUGUACACAGGAGAGACGCCGUCUGAACAAGAUCAGGGCAAGAGGAUGAUUGAACGAGACAGAAAGUGACCAUCUUGGUUCACCCAGAAUUGA
rnacentral:lncRNA from 1 species